AUUGAACGCUGGCGGCAGGCCUAACACAUGCAAGUCGAGCGAGCGGCGGACGGGUGAGUAAUGUAUGGGGACUGCCCGAUAGAGGGGGAUAACUACUGGCAACGGUAGCUACUCCCGCAUACUAUCGGAUAACCCAUAUGGGAUUAGCUAGUAGGUGAGGUACUGGCUCACCUAGGCGACGAUCCCUAGCUGGUCUGAGAGGAUGAUCAGCCACACUGGGACUGAGAAACGGCCCAGACUCCUACGGAGGCAGCAGUGGGGAAUAUUGCACAAUGGGGGCAAGCCUGAUGCAGCCAUGCCGCGUGUAUGAAGAAGGCCUUAGGGUUGUAAAGUACUUUCAGUCGGGAGGCGUUACCGGCAGAAGAAGCACCGGCUAACUCCGUGCCAGCAGCCGCGGUAAUUC
rnacentral:rRNA from 1 species